rnacentral:rRNA from 1 species
CCUACGGGUGGCUGCAGUGGGGAAUAUUGGACAAUGGGCGAAAGCCUGAUCCAGCCAUGCCGCGUGUGUGAAGAAGGCCUUCGGGUUGUAAAGCACUUUCAGUGGGGAAGAAAGCCUUGGGGCUAAUACCCUCGAGGAAGGACAUCACCCACAGAAGAAGCACCGGCUAACUCCGUGCCAGCAGCCGCGGUAAUACGGAGGGUGCGAGCGUUAAUCGGAAUUACUGGGCGUAAAGCGCGCGUAGGCGGUCUGAUAAGCCGGUUGUGAAAGCCCCGGGCUCAACCUGGGAACGGCAUCCGGAACUGUCAGGCUAGAGUGCAGGAGAGGAAGGUAGAAUUCCCGGUGUAGCGGUGAAAUGCGUAGAGAUCGGGAGGAAUACCAGUGGCGAAGGCGGCCUUCUGGACUGACACUGACGCUGAGGUGCGAAAGCGUGGGUAGCAAACAGGAUUACAUACCCUGGUAGUC